UAAAUGAAUGGAUUGUCACCGAAAAACUGGGAGAAACUCUUCUUGCAAAUCCUAAAAUCGAAGUACAUGAAGAAAAGUCAAGAAGAGUCAGAUUCUUAGAAAGGUAACCAACUAACCAAUGUUCAAAUAAUCCCUCCUCCCUCCCCCUCCAAAGAAAACACUGAUUUAUUAUUGUUGUUUUUGAUCAUAUAUGUACCUACAGGAUCUACCUUACAGAGAUUGGAAUUGGGAUUUUCCUCAUAACAUGUGCUACUUACAAUUUAUUGUACAGUCGAAAUUUUUAUUUUGUGUACAUUUACCUUCAAGCAGCUGCAUUUCUCAUCAUUGGAUUUGGCUAUAUCGGCACCUUUAAUUCAGAUAGAUAACGGUGAAUUUUUAGCCGUUAAUGAAGUCUAUGUAUACGUUCAAUUUGUUUAUGUGUUUUUUUUUUUUUUUUUUUUUUUUUUGAAGCAUUAUGCAAGUAUUUAGUAGCAUUAUCGUUGGCCCAUUGAAUUAAAAUUAAAUGUAUUAAAACUUUUGCAGUUACGUCCCUCGACUUCUCAGUUAUGAUUUGAAUGAGUCUUAGGUAAAUUAUCUGCAUAACAAAACUUAAAUAAAAAUUGUGAAACACUCUAAAGAUAUUAUUAAUUAUAUUUAUAUCUAUAGAAUUCAGUUUAAUUUACAGAGCUUAUUUUAAUUACUCUGUUCUCUAAUUACAGAAGCAACCCAAAUCGAAUUGUUUUAUCGGUAAGGUCAAAGUUUAUUAAUGACUUGUACCUAAAGAUAUUAAAAUAGGUGAAUUAAAUUUUUUUUCAAAACAAUUAAAUUUCAUUAAAAUAAUGUUAAUGUUAAGUUUACAAAAAAAAUAGAGUACAGAAGUAAAAAAGAAAUGAGCAAAAAAUUCAUUGACUCUCUCCCAUUAGCUAUGUAGUCUAGUUAUACAGUAGACAUCACAAGAUUUUCAAUUAAUGGUCAUGAUAGACAUAUCCUAUUGGGUCGCGCUUUUAAGUGAUAUAUCAAAAAUAAAAUAUUUAAAGAUCUUAGAUAAACUUGUAAAGUAGAAUGAAAAAUAUAAUAAUACCAAUCUUUUUUGUGAAAGUACUGAUUGAAUUUAAUUGCAUUUUUAAUUUCAUCCAAUUAAUAAAAAUUUAAUUAAUUUUUAUCACCUAAAUCAAAGAUAUUAGUUACAGUUAGUUUCUUCAUCAACUUUUGUUUCAUAGAAAUCCAUAGAAAUCAAUUGGCUUACUUUGAUCAUUUAUUACUUGAACAAAUACAUUUAAAAUCUUGUUUCGAUUUGGUCGAUCAAAAGAAAAAUCCCAAGUAUAAAUAAUUACGACUCUAACCAGCAACCAUACCAAUGAUACGGUGAUACCGGAAUCCACAUCUAUUCUGUUGUGUCCGCCGCGCUGUUGAAGCAGGAAAUUUGGGAACUUAUUUCACUUCUUCCACUCUCGUUUUUCUUCUGUGAGAGGGGAGAGCGAAUCGAAUCGAAUCGAAUCGCGGGAUGUGAGAAAGAAUUGAAUCGGAUGGUGAGAGGGGUUCCUGAAUCUUUUUGUCAUUCUGCUUUGUUAGACGGUUGUGAUGUGGCGUGAGGUGAUUGUGAAGCUUCUCCAAGAUUCCUUCUUCUUCUUCUUCCUUUUUUCCGUUGAAUAUUGAUUAGGUCGGGGGCAAUCCGUU
rnacentral:lncRNA from 1 species